rnacentral:rRNA from 1 species
UACAGAGGUCCCAAGCGUUUGUUCGGAGUUACUGGGCGUAAAGGGUGCGUAGGCGGCUCUAUAAGUAUGGUGUGAAAUCUCCCGGCUUAACUGGGAGGGUGCGCUAUAGACUGUGGGGCUAGAGUGUGGGAGAGGAAAGUGGAAUUCCUGGUGUAGCGGUGAAAUGCGUAGAUAUCAGGAGGAACACCGGUGGUGUAAACGGCUUUCUGGACCAUAACUGACGCUGAGGCACGAAAAGCGUGGGUAGCAAACAGG